CAUUUAUUGAUUUAAAAAGUCUAGUCAGUUAUGUAAACAGGCUUUUAUUUGUAGUGCAACAAUGCAACAAUGUAAACGUGUGUGAGCGAGACAGACGCCCACGGAGAAUGAACGCUUUGUCAUGGCUUAUUAUCCUACGGUUGCAAGCAAAAAUAAUCUCGUGUUUGAAAUUUACGUAGGAAAUAAAGUGCUUAAUGUUUUAGGCUUCUUGCUUUAGCAUCAUUUUUUUGUGUUCACGAGUACGAUUCGCACGGGUCGCGGGAUCCGCGGCCGGUUCACUGUUUGAGCUGGCAGCUCAUCUCCCGUGAUCUCCGUACCACGCCGUUCCGGGACCUAAACUCUUACCGGAACGCCGUUCCGGACCGUACCGGCUUACUUUCACACUCAAAAAGGUUCUACCCACAGUGCAUCGCCAGGGAAGACAUAAACAUGUGACAUGGAUGGAAACAUGUGGCCAAAUGCAGACGACAGGGUGUGAAUGUUACAGUAUAGAUGUGUUGUUGGUUUUUGAGCUUUAUCUCUUGAUUUCUAUUCUGCCCCUGAAUUCUGAGACUCUGCAGUUUUUUUUUGUUUACAGUAAACUUUUUAUUUUUUGGAAGGGCCCAAAGUACCUAUGCACAGAGAAAAUACGUAAAUGUUCUUGAAGUAAAUUGCUGCAUUCCUGAUUCAUUCUUGUUGCAGUAUAUUACAAUAAUAUUACAAUAUCACAACAAUAUUACAAUAAUUUAGAACACUCGAGGUGCAAAGAUCUUAUUUUAUGUUAAAAUACUGAUUUAUCUAAAAAGAAAUCUUUCAAACUUUAAAGAUUAAAAUUUAUUUUAUGUAAUGCUCUCUGUUGUUGGUAUUUUGUAGUUCAGUGUGCUAAGAGUGACAGUGUUUGUUUCCAAAGUGAGACUAUUUGUUAGUGUUGUGGUUGAAUGAGCUUUUUUUGAGACAUGUAUUAAGUGUUGUGUUGGUGAGAAACAAUUUUGGGGAUGAGAUUAACUGUUUAGCUGAGAUGCAUGAUGAAAAUGCAGGCCGCAUUAAGCGUUUUGAACAUUUGACUUCAGUUUUGACCAAUGUUUGUUAGCAACUGAAUAAAACUGCAAUGUUCAAAAAUAAUUUGAUGUUUUUUUUCUCAUCUGUUCUUUUAAAGUAGUUGUUUGCUUCCGCUUGAAGAGGCGACUGUUGGAUCAAGUCAUGGUCGUCAGACGUGAAGGAGAUGGCUCAGCAUUACCAAUAUAAGAGGGAUACAGGGGACUGCACUACUGUCUUCUCUGCACAAGCACCACAUUCUUCUGGAGAAAUUGAGCCCUGUCGCUAGCACCUAUGCAUGUUUUGACAUGGACUCAUCUUUCCUCGUGUUGGAGGACGACAAAGAGCAUUGUGAAGAGGAAAGUGAACAGGAUGACACCAUUUCAGAGCUUUCAGAGGAAAACAUGUAAAGUGGCUGUCUAUACAUGGCAGCGUUUAAUGUGUUAACAUAUUCACACAUGGCAAGCUACCAUGAAAAGUUAGCACAACCACGAGGAGCAAUUUGAACAGUGCUGGAAAAUGUAUUUAGACCACUUUGUGAAUAUACUCCUUUAAAAGUUCUAUACUCCAACUUGACUGUCAAAAAAUGUGUAGAUUGUCAGAAAAUGUACUUCUGUAUGAAAUGUAAAAUGAUGUUUAGUUUAGUAAAAUUUUGUAUUCCCGUAAUGUUUUAGAUUACUGGUACUGCUGUAUUUGUAUGUUUAAAAUAUUUUGGAUGAAGGAGAUUACAAGAAGAUUACAACAGUGUAAAAGUACAGAUAACCAGCAAAAUAUGUACUUCAGUAAAAACAGAAAUACUACAUUAACAAUCCCACUUAAGUAACAGUAAAUAAGUACUUACUUUUUAAAAUUUACUUUAAGUAUCAAAAGUAAAAGCACUCACACAAUGGGUUGUCGCUUAAUGUCCAGGCCUAUAUUUCAAUUAAAAAAAACAUACCCUGUCAGGUAACAUAUAACCAGCUGAAUUAUAAAAUAGAGCGUGAAAUGUAUCACAGAGGGUAAGCAUAAGUACGCUAACCUUUCCAAUAAAUAAAAGUUGUUGCUGUGGCAUCCGCAGAGGUAUAAAAACUACUAGACGUAACAUCAGCAUUUUCUAAUAUCAUUAGGCAAAACCAGUAAAUACAAUGAUUAUACCUUCGAAUCAUUUACUUUUUUGUAAAUCUAUGCAAAGCGCAACAUUAGACUCUGUUGCCUGCAGUACAGAAAAAAAAUUUAUGCAAAGUUGACAUGGCAAAAAAUAGGCUAGUAACUGACUAGGCUUUUAAUCAAUGACAAUUUUAGUAAUGGCAACUAGUUUGACUAAUUAGUUUGUGACAUUUUUAAGAACAUUACUUAAAAAUCAUUCCUCACUGAAGAUCUCAGUGCAAUAAGAAAACAAAGAAUUUGAGGACAUAACGUAAAGCUUUGGAAGAGACAGAUCAUGUCACAUUUUUCAGUCAUUUAUCUGAUCAAAUAGGCUAAGUUAUAAACAGUUUUUCAACUAUUCUAAUCAACAGAAUAUUCAACUGUGAAAAAAAUAGUUGCAGCCCUUUUUUUUUUAAACCUUUGUUUUCUUUAACUUGUGACAUGUGGCAAACAUGACAAUUCAACAAGUCUGAAUGCUGGCAAGGCUCAUCUAUAAACAUUUCGGUUUUUUUAACAUGGCAGUUUCAUUGUCAGUUGCAUUACCAGAACUUCUUGUUGUCUCAUCCUAUGGGCAAUUAUCUCCUAAAUUAAUUUAAUUAAUCAUCAGAGAAUCACUGUACUAGCUCUCCAUCUAAUGGGUCUAGAUAGGUUCCUGCAGCCCAGAGGGGUCUAACCCAGGUGGGAUCCGAGGAACAUUUAAGCUGGCGGCAAGGAAAUUUGCCUAGAUUCUGACUGCCUUCAUCCAGACGCCUAUCUCGCUUCCUCUGAUAAUUAACCUAACUGAGUAGCCACUUUUGAAUGGUUAAAUUAAUUUACCAGUCAUGUCUAUUAAUGGCAGCUUUCCUCUAAGUGGAUUUUACACUUGGCAAGUUGCUAGGUUAAAGUUUAGAGGUUUGGAUUUGAAUAACCCCAGGGAUAAGUUUUUAAAAAGGCCACCCACGGCCCCAAUGACUUAAGUAACCUUUCAGAACCUUUUUAGCUGUAAUGCACACAUUAACCUGACAUUUUACCACCAGAGAAAAUAUAUAUAAUUAAUCACUGUAAAAGGGAUAAAUUGAAUUUCCAAUCUGUUAGCUUUAAUUGCAGGAUAAAUGUUUAUUAUAAUAUUUCAGCAUGGGUGCAGCAUUAGCUCAUAAAUCACAAAACUCAAUGAGUCAGAUUCAAAACAUAAAAAUUAAUAUUCUUCCAAUUGAUUAACACAACUCAUGUAAUGGAACUAUGCUUUUAUAUAAGAAAAGUAAUAAUCACCCAGAUACAUAAUUUGGAGGGGGAGAGCAGUCGGCUUGGCCACAACCGGCUGCUGACCUAAAGACUGACGAGCCUCCGAGGCUCACCGGCUCAGAGGGAAGUGGUGCGGGUUCAGUCCAGAUUAUGAUCUGCUUGUAUUCCUUUCUGUCAUUUGGGCCAGUAAAAACUUUGUUAUAAUCA